GAUGAACGCUGGCGGCGUGCCUAAUACAUGCAAGUCGAGCGAACAGACGAGGAGCUUGCUCCUCUGACGUUAGCGGCGGACGGGUGAGUAACACGUGGAUAACCUACCUAUAAGACUGGGAUAACUUCGGGAAACCGGAGCUAAUACCGGAUAAUAUAUUGAACCGCAUGGUUCAAUAGUGAAAGACGGUUUUGCUGUCACUUAUAGAUGGAUCCGCGCCGCAUUAGAUAGUUGGUAAGGUAACGGCUUACCAAGGCGACGAUGCGUAGCCGACCUGAGAGGGUGAUCGGCCACACUGGAACUGAGACACGGUCCAGACUCCUACGGGAGGCAGCAGUAGGGAAUCUGCCGCAAUGGGCGAAAGCAUGACGGAGCAACGCCGCGUGAGUGAUGAAGGUCUUCGGAUCGUAAAACUCUGUUAUUAGGGAAGAAAAAAUGUGUAAGUAACUAUGCACGUCUUGACGGUACCUAAUCAGAAAGCCACGGCUAACUACGUG
rnacentral:rRNA from 1 species